AGUAGCCUACGGGGGGCAGCAGUGAGGAAUAUUGGUCAAUGGGCGAGAGCCUGAACCAGCCAAGUCGCGUGAAGGAUGACGGCCCUACGGGUUGUAAACUUCUUUUGUCAGGGAGCGAUUGGGUCCACGUGUGGGCUUAGCGAGAGUACCUAAAGAAAAAGCAUCGGCUAACUCCGUGCCAGCAGCCGCGGUAAUACGGAGGAUGCGAGCGUUAUCCGGAUUUAUUGGGUUUAAAGGGUGCGUAGGCGGAAUAUCGAGUCAGCGGUA
rnacentral:rRNA from 1 species